UCAAACUUGGUCAUUUAGAGGAAGUAAAAGUCGUAACAAGGUUUCCGUAGGUGAACCUGCGGAAGGAUCAUUACUGAGAACUUGCCCCACCUGGGGUAGAUCUCCCACCCUUUGUUUACCGUACGCUUGUUGCUUUGGCAGGCCCGUCCUUAGGGACCGCCGGCUUUGGCUGGUCAGCUGCUUGCCAGAGAAUCUUAAACUCUUGAUAUUUUGUUGUCCGAGUACUGCAGAAUGAUUAAAACUUUCAACAACGGAUCUCUUGGUUCUGGCAUCGAUGAAGAACGCAGC
rnacentral:misc_RNA from 1 species